GCCAGAUCUAGGUUUUACAAAUUAUACUGUGCUGCAAGUUGUGAUAGGAUAGUAUUAAAGCACAUGAUGCGUAAGUAUAUCAGAAUACGGUUUUAAGAAUGAGUCAAAAUCAAAAUAUCAAUAACAUAAAAUAUAGCGAACAUCUCUGUGAAACACUAUAUUGCCCCUAUAUGUUACAUUUGGGAAUAUUACACCAUUUAUUGAUGUCUUAAUUUAUAGUGUAGAGUAGUGGUUGCAAUGUUCCUUUAUAGUAUAGAGUAGUGGUUAGUAGCAGAAUGAAAGAAAUUGUAAGUUGGCC